GUCCGCACCGUAAACGAUGAUUACUCGCUGCUAGAGGGCAACUUUUAGUGGCUUAGCGAAAGCGAUAAGUAAUCCACCUGGGGGAGUACGCCGGCAACGGUGAAACUCAAAGGAAUUGACGGGGGCCCGCACAAGCGGGAGGAGCAUGUGGUUUAAUUCGAUGAUACGCGAGGAACCUUACCAGGGCUUGAAAGUUAGGGAAUAACUCUGAAAGGAGUUAGUCAGCAAUGACCCGAAACUAGGUGCUGCAUGGCUGUCGU
rnacentral:rRNA from 1 species